CGCGGCCUAUCAGCUUGUUGGUGGGGUAAUGGCCUACCAAGGCGUCGACGGGUAGCCGGCCUGAGAGGGUGGACGGCCACAUUGGGACUGAGAUACGGCCCAGACUCCUACGGGAGGCAGCAGUGGGGAAUAUUGCACAAUGGGCGCAAGCCUGAUGCAGCGACGCCGCGUGGGGGAUGACGGCCUUCGGGUUGUAAACUCCUUUCAGCCAUGACGAAGCCCUUUUGGGGUGACGGUAGUGGUAGAAGAAGCACCGGCUAACUACGUGCCAGCAGCCGCGGUAAUACGUAGGGUGCGAGCGUUGUCCGGAAUUACUGGGCGUAAAGAGCUCGUAGGUGGUCUGUCGCGUCAUUUGUGAAAGCCCGGGGCUUAACUCCGGGUUGGCAGGUGAUACGGGCAUGACUGGAGUACUGUAGGGGAGACUGGAAUUCCUGGUGUAGCGGUGAAAUGCGCAGAUAUCAGGAGGAACACCGGUGGCGAAGGCGGGUCUCUGGGCAGUAACUGACGCCGAGGAGCGAAAGCAUGGGUAGCGAACAGGAUUAGAUACCCUGGUAGUCCAUGCCGUAAACGGUGGGCGCUAGGUGUGGGUUUCCUUCCACGGGAUCCGUGCCGUAGCUAACGCAUUAAGCGCCCCGCCUGGGGAGUACGG
rnacentral:rRNA from 1 species